rnacentral:tRNA from 1 species
GUGAGUGUCAUAUAGCGGUUAUUAUCUCCGACUUCCAAUCGGAUGACUCCGGUUCGAUUCCGGACACUCAUA